rnacentral:rRNA from 1 species
GACAAGGUUCCAGGCCCUACGGGGUGCAGCAGGCGCGAAACCUCCGCAAUGUGAGAAAUCGCGACGGGGGGAUCCCAGGUGCCAUUCUUAACGGGAUGGCUUUUCAUUAGUGUAAAGAGCUUUUGGAAUAAGGGCUGGGCAAGACCGGUGCCAGCCGCCGCGGUAACACCGGCAGCUCUAGUGGUAGCAGUUUUUAUUGGGCCUAAAGCGUCCGUAGCCGGUUUAAUAAGUCUCUGGUGAAAUCCUGUAGCUUAACUGUGGGAAUUGCUGGAGAUACUAUUAGACUUGAGACCGGGAGAGGUUAGAGGUACUCCCAGGGUAGAGGUGAAAUUCUGUAAUCCUGGGAGGACCGCCUGUUGCGAAGGCGUCUAACUGGAACGGUUCUGACGGUGAGGGACGAAAGUUAGGGGCGCGAACCGGAUUAGAUACCCGGGUAGUCCUAACUGUAAACGAUGCGGACUUGGUGUUGGGGUGGCUUUGAGCUGCUCCAGUGCCGAAGGGAAGCUGUUAAGUCCGCCGCCUGGGAAGUACGGUCGCAAGACUGAAACUUAA